rnacentral:rRNA from 1 species
UACGUAGGGUCCGAGCGUUGUCCGGAAUUAUUGGGCGUAAAGGGCUCGUAGGCGGUUCGUCACGUCGGGAGUGAAAACUCGGAGCUUAACUCCGAGCCUGCUUCCGAUACGGGCAGACUAGAGGUAGGCAGGGGAGAGCGGAAUUCCUGGUGUAGCGGUGAAAUGCGCAGAUAUCAGGAGGAACACCGGUGGCGAAGGCGGUUCUCUGGGCAUGACCUGACGCUGAGGAGCGAAAGUGUGGGGAGCGAACAGG